AUUUAUUUUACAUUUUUUUUUUUUUUUUUAAAUAUGGCUUCCCCAAUCUUGCCUCAGGAUUGAGGUGAGAAAAAAAAAGUUCCUCCCUAUAUCAAGUCUAAAGCAUUACAGGAUGCAGAUGAGGCAGGAGACUUGUAACCAAAGUGUAUUUUUAUAUGCCAGUUUGUUCUUUCACAUUCUAUCACAUUGGUUAUUUAUUUCGGAGAGGGGUGUGAAUCAAUUAUUGACUUGUGUAACUUAGGGUGGCAUCUUGUUUGACAUUUCUUCACUGGUAUAGAUAAAGAAUGAAUUCCCUUUACCUGUGAUUUACAAGCCUGUGUGGGUGGGUCUCCAUCUUUCAAUCUUACACUGACCUAGAAAUGUAUUAAUCUUGAUUAAGUAUGCGUAUCACUCAUAAAACUCUUUGAUUGCCUGCUUCGUCAUCUACCAUUUGUCGACUUUGUAACUGGCUCUUGCCGACAUCAUUUUUCACUAUUUAGUUUGUUUCAUUCAUUAGAGAAAAGCAACAACAAAGGGAUGUUUUUAAUUUGAAAAGCAAAGGAUUGGAGCUUGACUCCCUUCAUUUGUACAUUGUAG